UCCGGGAAUAUAGGAUGAGAGGAGGUGGGAGCGGGAAGGAGAUAGUUUAGUCGUUCCUCCUUACUCGAGAGGGCCGUUUCUCUGGAAAGUGGGAGGAAGCACUGUCUUGUCUCUCAGAAUCACAGAAUAUGCUGAGCUGGACGGAACACAUCAGGAUCAUCGAGUCUAACUCCUGGCCCAGCACAGGACACCCCAGGAGUCACACCAUGUGCCUGAGAGCAUUGUCCAAACACUUCUUGUACUGUGUCAGGCUUGAGGCUGUGACCACUGCCCUGGGGAGCCUGUCCUAGCGCCCAACCAUCCUCUGGGGAAAGAAUCUUUUCCCAAUAUCUAACCCAAACCUUCGCUGACACAGCUCCAAGCCAGUCCCUCAUGUCCUGUCACUUGUCACCACCGGUCACCACAGAGAAGAUAUCAGUCUCUGACCCUCCUCUUCUGUUCAUGAGGAGAUUUUAGCUGCAGUGAGGUCUCCCCUCAGUCUCCUCAAGGUUGAACAGACCAAGUGACCUCAGCUGCUCCUCAUACAACUUCCCCUCAUGGCUUUUUACCAUCUUUAUUGCUCUCCUUUGGAUGCUCUCUAAUAGCUUUGUAUCUUUCUUACACUAUGGCAGCCAAAACUGCUCCCAGCCCUCGAGGUGAGGCCUCUCCAGUGCAGAACAGAGUAGGACAAUCCCAAUCCCCUCCCUUGCCCAGCUGGUGAUGCUGUGCCUGAUGUACCCAGGACACACUUGGCCCUCCUGGCUGCCAGGGCACUGCUGACUCACAUUCCACUUGCCAUCAACCAGGAGCCUCAGGUCCCUUUCCAUGGCUCUGCUUCCAGCAUCUCAUUCACCACCCUGUCCAUACAUCCCAGCCUGCCCCAUCCCAGAUACAGAAUCCAGCAGUUUGUUUGGUUUUUUGUUUGUAAAACAGCGUUUAAAAAGGACAACACCAACAAACAUAUGAGUGUUGAAAUUAAGCCUAAUUAUAAUAAAUUGCACAGUCAAUAUUUCAACACAUGACCAAGGUGUUAUCUCAGGAGGGUUCCUAUGUGUUCUUUAAUUAUUUUUUAUAUCCACAUUACAUUUAUCUACCAUCUUGGUCACCAAGUUCACUGUGGCAUUUUUCAGUGAAAUUCUCUUAAAUCAGGAACAGACUUUUAAAAUUAUUUAAACUCUGUUAGGGAUUCACAGCACUAGCUUGUACAUUAAUUAAAGCAGGCAACCAAAAAUUCAAUUUAAAAAUAAGACCUGUGUAGCUGUAGUGGUUUUUAGCACCCAAAAAUUAAUUUUACCCAUUGCAUGAGAGAAAGUGUGAGCCAUCUAUUUUCCGAAUUAUCACUUCUCUUUGAAAAGACUCCCAAGUUUUGUCCUUUAUAAAGCAGGGAAAAAAAAUUGUUUUCUGCAUUUUGAUUAACAUCUAAAGUAAUUAUAAGAGAAAAAAAGGUAUGGCAAAUUCUUUCAGUAUUGAAGAUAAACACAGCAAUUGAUAAGAUAAACUGAACAAGGUUAUCAGGGUUUCAUAGGAAUAACCACACUGUAUUGACAAAAGUAUUCUGAUUUACUCACUGUAUAGUUGUUCUUUCCCCUCUAGCAAAAUCUCUGCUGAACUCCUGAGGAAUGUGGCACCUCCAUUGCCAUCUAGGAGAUAAUUUCAAAGGGUAGAAUGCAUUUCCUGCAUUUUGUUGUUAGUAACUUCACAUAGAGACUGCUGUAGUUUUUCACAAACUUUAACAAGUACCAGAACUAGGCAUUUCUUACCUCAGUAAGUUUUGCAGUCUGUCAGGGUAAGGCCAUAAGGACUAAUACCAAGAUGGAAUGAGGUAUAUUAUAUAUAAAAUCUUUGUUACUAAACAGCACAAGUUUCCUACAUAAAAACAAGCUCCUGCUUCAUUUCUGUACUUUGUUGAGGUGACUUAUACCUGGAUAUUAGUGUGGUACAUAUAUUAUUUCAUUCAACCAGAAAUCAUACAACUCUGUAUGAUUGCAGCAAAUACAGUUUGAGCAUGAUGUCAAUUAAUGAGAUGUCUGUGGAAGCAGAGCCAACACAGGAUCACAGAAUGGAUCAGAUUGCAAGGGACCACAGUGGGUCACUUGGUCCAGCCUCUCUGCUCAAGCAGGGUCAUUCUAGAGCAAAUGGCACAGUACUGCAUCCAGAUUGUUCUUGAAUAUUUCCAGUGAGGGAGACUCUACAACCUCUCUGAGCAAUGUGUUGUGGGCAAUCUGCUUGGUCAUCUGCACAUUAAAGUUCUUCCUCGUACA